UACGGAGGGGACUAGCGUUGUUCGGAAUUACUGGGCGUAAAGCGCACGUAGGCGGAUUUGUAAGUCAGGGGUGAAAUCCCGGGGCUCAACCUCGGAACUGCCUUUGAUACUGCAAAUCUCGAGUCCGGAAGAGGUGAGUGGAAUUCCUAGUGUAGAGGUGAAAUUCGUAGAUAUUAGGAAGAACACCAGUGGCGAAGGCGGAUCUCUGGGCCUUACCUGACGCUGAGGCGCGAAAGCUAGGGGAGCAAACAGG
rnacentral:rRNA from 1 species